GACGAACCGUGCAAACGUUAUUCGGAAUCACUGGGCUUAAAGGGCGCGUAGGCGGGCUGUCAAGUCAGAGGUGAAAUCCCACAGCUUAACUGUGGAAGUGCCCCUGAUACUGACGGCCUCGAGGGAGGUAGGGGCGUGUGGAACUUCCGGUGGAGCGGUGAAAUGCGUAGAUAUCGGAAGGAACGCCGGUGGCGAAAGCGACACGCUGGCCCUCUUCUGACGCGUGAGGCGCGAAAGCCAGGGGAGCAAACGGG
rnacentral:rRNA from 1 species